GAUGAACGCUGGCGGCGUGCCUAAUACAUGCAAGUCGAGCGAACAGACGAGGAGCUCGCUCCUCUGACGUUAGCGGCGGACGGGUGAGUAACACGUGGAUAACCUACCUAUAAGACUGGGAUAACUUCGGGAAACCGGAGCUAAUACCGGAUAAUAUAUUGAACCGCAUGGUUCAAUAGUGAAAGACGGUUUUGCUGUCACUUAUAGAUGGAUCCGCGCCGCAUUAGCUAGUUGGUAAGGUAACGGCUCACCAAGGCAACGAUGCGUAGCCGACCUGAGAGGGUGAUCGGCCACACUGGAACUGAGACACGGUCCAGACUCCUACGGGAGGCAGCAGUGGGGAAUCUUCCGCAAUGGGCGAAAGCCUGACGGAGCAACGCCGCGUGAGUGAUGAAGGUCUUCGGAUCGUAAAACUCUGUUAUUAGGGAAGAACAAAUGUGUAAGUAACUAUGCACGUCUUGACGGUACCUAAUCAGAAAGCCACGGCUAACUACGUG
rnacentral:rRNA from 1 species